CUCGAGCCCCCCCAGGCCUGGACCUCGAGCCCCCCCAGGCCUGGACCCCGAGCCCCCCCAGGCCUGGACCUCGAGCCCCCCCAGGUCUGGACCUCGAGCCCCCCACCCCAGGCCUGGACCUCGAGCCCCCCAGGCCUGGACCUCGAGCUUGGCUUCCCCUGUGGAGAGUGGAGCCUGAGCGGCCCAGGCCCCGAGCCUCCAGCCCCGGGUGGUGUGUGCUUCCGGGAGACGCGCCCAGCGCCCCAACACAGAGGGACAGAAAAGUUGCCCCAGCAUCGACCCAGGCACACAGCUCCCCGGUGAGAGGCUGCAUGGGCAUGUGAGUGCGUGUGAGCUUCUCACAGCUGAGAAGCGGGCCUGGUCCCUCGGCGUGGUGGGUGGAGACCCCGGAUGCGGGGGCUUGCUGGCCGCUCCAGGGUCAGGAGAGAGCCUGUCUACAGGGGAACCACAACCACAUCUGCCCUCCUCCUCCGAGUGGCCGCACAGGUCGCCGCCACAGACACACCCCACAGACAGCACAGCCCCCAGAGCACGGAAACAGCGGCCCUGUGAGAGCGGCCUUCCUCAGGGGCUGCGCUCGCUGCCUCCCUGCCAAGCCCUCACUCACCCCAGAGUCCACAGCACGGGGAGGACGAGCGGGAGGGCAGCCUCAAGGCAGAGGCCGGACAAGGGGGCAGAUCGGCCAGAACCUAUGGUCUGUGAAGGCCACCCCCAGUCCUGCAAGGGGGAUUCCAGGCAGGGGCUCUACCCCCGAGCCACCCCCAGCCCCUCACUGGGGGACUCUAGGCAGGGGCUCUACCCCUGAGCCACACCCCAGCCCCUCACUGGGAGAUCCUAGGCAGGGGCUCUACCCCCAAGCCACCCCCAGUCCUGCAAGGGGGAUUCUAGGCAGGGGCUCCACCACUGAGCACACCCCAGGCCCUCACUUCAUUCUAUGUACUCUGAUUUUGAGGUACACCCUAUUGUGCUCAUUUUUAAACUAUCUUAUUUGGAGUAUCUAGGCUCCCCCCCAACCCUUCAACCCGACGAGAGAAGGUUAGUGGGGAGAGUGGUGCAGACCCCUUUACUUCUCUCGCUGUUUAAGGUUGAUGGGUUCUUUGGGGCUACGCCAGUCUCCAUCCAUGUGCCGUGAAGCGUCUCUCCUGGGCCUUUCCAAACCGCCACACUGUCGUUCUCUGGUUUCUCCAAACUGCCACACUUUUUUUCUGGGCUCCUAUUUAUAUCUCUCAGAGUCCUCAUGCCCCUCUCUGUGCUGCACGAGGCAGGCUGUUACCAAGACCAGCAGGAGGCACUUAUCAGCUGUGGACUAAAACCCCACACUUGAGACUAAAACAAAAACAUUUACAAAACAUAACUUCAUUUUGAAAGAAACCAAAACAUCCAUUACAGCACCCCAUUCUUUUUCAUUGUUUAAGGUUGGAAUUCGAGACAGUCUCACUAAGUUGCUGAGGCUGGUCUUGAACGUGUGAUCUUUCUCCCUUGGGGCUCACAAGUAGGUGGACCAGAUGAGGUUUCCUCUCAGAAAAGACUUGAAGCUUUUGCUGUGUUGUUUCUGUGGUUGGAGUCUCUCCUGAAGGGUGGAGGUGUUCAUGCCCCAGGCUGGGUGCUCUGGGAGCUGAGAGUGAGUGGAAGCAGGCCAGGCCCCAGAGGUUCCCUGGGGCUUGUCCUGCCCCCGGCCCAGGCAAGAGCAGCCGUCUCUGCACCAGGAGCCACAGAAAUCUUUCCUCUUCUCGGCUCGUCAGGUGCCUGACACACAACAGAAAGCUAACGCAGGCCACAGUGGAAGGCCUUCAUCUGGACCCGCACACGCAGGCACUGCUUUAGUCUGUUAGUUCCUUCUCAACAGAGCAAGGAACAGGGAGGUUAAGGGUCACAUGGCUGGCGCGGAUUCUGGCCACACCAUUCCGGAGAGAGGCCCGAGCCACUGUGCUGCCUUUCACCAAACAGGGUGAGGUCACCUUGCACAGGUGCCUUCCCUGGGCGGGUUUCAGCCUGCAGACCUCAGGGAGCGCCCCCUGGUGGAGACCUGGGGAGGAGCGCCCCCUGGUGGAGACCUCAGGAUGGCCACCCCCUGGUGGAGACCUCACGGAGCGCCCCCUCGUGGAGACCUGGGGAGGAGCGCCUGACUGCCAGCACUGGAAACUGGAGGCUGAAUCAGGAGUUCAAGGUCACGCUCGGCUUCUUAAGAGUUCCAGGCCAGCCUAGGCUGCUCGGCACCCCGCUCAAAACAAACGAGCAGGGCCUGCGGCAGCUGCUGUGUUUGCUGUGUUCGCUGCUGUGUUCGCUGUUUGCUGUUUGGUGGAUUCCAGGGGUGGGCAGCAAAAAGGAGAAACCCUUCAUUAUCUCAGAAACAACAGUAAAGACAAACAACCCCAAACCCACAAUACAAUCAAAUCAGAACCGUCCCCCUGUGCCUGUGGCCCUUUACUCUCCCAAGUGCCGGCGUCUCCGUGCCUCACCCAGGAAGGGUGUGGAGCAGGGUCAGGCGGGACGUGCUCCCUUCAACUGCAGAACUCAAUUCGCGCCGUGGCCGUGGCCACAGCUGACCAAGACCCUCACGGCAGCUGCCUUCCUGGAGACUGGGUUGGGACCCAGAGUGACGCCCCUGUGAGCAGAGCUCAGGCCUGCUGAAGCCACGCUUGGUAACUCCCUCGCGCUCUCCAUGUGUACCUACUCAGCGAUAGAUACAGUUCUGAACAUGUAAUUGUACCGAAUAUAAUUGUAUCUUCACUUUUAAAGAAUUGUGUAAACUUUAUAAAAUUCCCGCUGGCCUGCAGCUCGCAGAGCUCGAGGGCCUCUGGGCUGUUGCUGUGGAGCAGGCUGGCGAGGCUGAGAGCUGGCGUCACAGCCACGCCCGCCUUCUGUAGCUGUGUGACUGUGGGACCCUGAAGUCGCCCGAACCGCCGCCUCGCCCAGAAAAGGUGUCGGAGACAACACGCCACGCGGGGCUCCUCUUCUGCACCGAGCCCCAUCUCACGGCUCGGAGCACGCAAAUCCCAGAUGUGGAUGCGGCCUCUCUCCCCUUCACCCCCACUCUUGGACUGGUGGUGGGCAGAUUGGAGGCCCCACCCGG